GACGAACGCUGGCGGCGUGCUUAACACAUGCAAGUCGAACGGAAAGGCCCUGCUUUUGUGGGGUGCUCGAGUGGCGAACGGGUGAGUAACACGUGAGUAACCUGCCCUUGACUUUGGGAUAACUUCAGGAAACUGGGGCUAAUACCGGAUAGGAGCUCCUGCUGCAUGGUGGGGGUUGGAAAGUUUCGGCGGUUGGGGAUGGACUCGCGGCUUAUCAGCUUGUUGGUGGGGUAGUGGCUUACCAAGGCUUUGACGGGUAGCCGGCCUGAGAGGGUGACCGGCCACAUUGGGACUGAGAUACGGCCCAGACUCCUACGGGAGGCAGCAGUGGGGAAUAUUGCACAAUGGGCGGAAGCCUGAUGCAGCAACGCCGCGUGCGGGAUGACGGCCUUCGGGUUGUAAACCGCUUUCGCCUGUGAUGAAGCGUGAGUGACGGUAAUGGGUAAAGAAGCACCGACUAACUACGUG
rnacentral:rRNA from 1 species